CGUUCUGGGUGACAUCGUACCUUUUGUAUUAUGGGCCAGCGACUUAAUUUAACGAGCAAGCUUAAGCCGAUAGGCGAAGGCGCAGCGAAAGCGAGUCUGAAUAGGGCGUAUCCGCACAACAGUGUGUGGUGUAGUGGUGUGUUCUGGACCCGAAGCGGAGUGAUCUACCCAUGGCCAGGUUGAAGCAGCAGUAAGAUGUUGUGGAGGACCGAACCCACUUAGGUUGAAGACUG
rnacentral:rRNA from 1 species